GACCAUAUCCUGUUGAAACAUAGGUUCCCGUACGAUCACCGAAGUUAAGCAAAGUCGAGACUGGUCAGUACCUAGAUGAGUGAUCACUUCGGAAUACCAUGCACUGUA